CCUACGGGUGGCAGCAGUGAGGAAUAUUGGUCAAUGGACGCAAGUCUGAACCAGCCAUGCCGCGUGCAGGAAGACGGCUCUAUGAGUUGUAAACUGCUUUUGUACGAGGGUAAACGCAGAUACGCGUAUCUGUCUGAAAGUAUCGUACGAAUAAGGAUCGGCUAACUCCGUGCCAGCAGCCGCGGUAAUACGGAGGAUUCAAGCGUUAUCCGGAUUUAUUGGGUUUAAAGGGUGCGUAGGCGGUCGGAUAAGUUAGAGGUGAAAUCCCGAGGCUCAACUUCGGAAUUGCCUCUGAUACUGUUCGGCUAGAGAGUAGUUGCGGUAGGCGGAAUGUAUGGUGUAGCGGUGAAAUGCUUAGAGAUCAGACAGAACACCGAUUGCGAAGGCAGCUUACCAAGCUACUUCUGACGUUGAGGCACGAAAGCGUGGGGAGCGAACAGGAUUAGAUACCCCUGUAGUC
rnacentral:rRNA from 1 species